rnacentral:lncRNA from 1 species
GACCAUAGCUCCCUUCCUCAUCAUCACCAGAACCAGAACGGUUCCUGCGCUGCUCAUUAUCAUCAUCAUCAUCGUCAUUGCGACGACCAUAGCUAGGCUUCCUGUAACUCCCCUCUUCCUGUUCCUCAGACCUUCCAUAGCUAGGCUUCCUGUAACUCCCUUCCUCCUGAUCCUCAGAUCUUCCAUAGCUAGGCUUAAUGUAACUCUCCACCUGUUCCUCAGACCCUCCAUAACUUGGUUUCCUGUAACUACCUUCCUCCUGAUCCUCAGAUCUCCCAUAGCUAGGCUUCCUGUAACCUUCCUCUUGAUCCUCAGAUCUCCCAUAGCUAGGCUUCCUGUAACCUUCCUCUUGUUCCUCAGAUCUUCCAUAGCUAGGCUUCCUGUAGCCUUCCUCUUGAUCCUCAGAUCUUCCAUAGCUAGGCUUCCUGUAACUUCCUUCUUCCUGAUCCUCAGAUCUUCCAUAGCUAGGUUUCUUGUAACCUUCCUCUUGUUCCUCAGACCUUCCAUAGCUAGGCUUCCUGUAACCUUCUUCUUGUUCCUCAGACCUACCAUAGCUAGGCUUACGCUCAUACUCAGACUCUGAUCUGCCACCAUAUCCAGAUCCAAGACCCGAUUCAGGUCUCCUCCCAUACUCAACCUCAGUUCUUCCACCACCAGAUCCAUACUCCGAUUGAUUCUCCGUUCUACCACCAUAACUCUGCUCAGGUCUCCGACCAUACUCCGUCUCAGUUUCACCACCAUAUCCAGAUUCAGGCCUCCUACCAUACUCACUCUCCGUCUGACCACCAUAACCAGAUCCAGAUCCAUAACCAGGAUUCGGCCUCUCACCUUGAACAUGACCGCCACCACCUGAAUCGGGUCGAAAUGCGGGUCGUGGCUUGGGUCGAGAAUAGCUACUGUACUCUGUGUUGAGAGCUUCGUCUCCGUAAGCAGAAGGCUCAUGGAUCUGAGUGAAUUCAGGUCUCUCGUAUUCGAAAUCGUCAUCGACACCAGACGAGAGAGGGUAACAAGUCUCAUCGGAAGGUGGGAUCGGACGGCCGUAAAUCACCGUGAUGUCGU